rnacentral:rRNA from 2 species
UUAGGAAUCUUGCGCAAUGGGGGAAACCCUGACGCAGCGACGCCGCGUGAAUGAAGAAGUCCUUCGGGAUGUAAAGUUCUGUUCUAUGGGGAAGAAGGCAGUGACGGUACCCAUAGAGAAAGCCCCGGCUAACUACGUGCCAGCAGCCGCGGUAAUACGUAGGGGGCGAGCGUUAUCCGAAUUUACUGGGCGUAAAGCGCGUGUAGGCGGCUUUUUAAGUGAGGUGUGAAAUCCUGUGGCUCAACCACAGAACUGCACUUCAAACUGGGGAGCUUGAAAUUGGGAGAGGAAAGUGGAAUUCCUGGUGUAGCGGUGAAAUGCGUAGAUAUCAGGAGGAACACCCGUGGCGAAGGCGGCUUUCUGGCCCAACAUUGACGCUGAGACGCGAAAGCCAGGGGAGCGAACGGG